CAAAUUGUAACCUGCUGCUCAUGAGCUUGGUGGCUUUGCUCAGCCUGCUUGGCUGCAGCAUUCCUAUCUGUAAAAUGGGCAUAAGGAUAGUGCCUACCUCUUUGGACUGUUGGGAGGCCAUGCAUGGAAGACUUCGUAGGCUUCUGAAUAUGUAAAUUCUCGAUACUUGGUUCAUAUUCUUAUUCUGGUCCAGAAGAGGGUCUGAAGGUCCGUCUUGAGUCCAGAUAUUUGGGGGUCAUAAAGCACAGUCUGUCUUCCCAAACUAUGCUUCACCUAAGCACAUAGGAAAUAACCUUCACCCGGUCCCCUGUCUUCUUGGCGUUUCAGCAAUGGUGGGAGCAGCUCUCCUGUGUCCCUGACCAGGGCUCAUAUCACUCACGGGCUAAGGGUCUAUGUCAUGCCAUCCCAGGCACAGCAAAGAGAGAGGAAGAAACUGUUUUAAGCUUGGAUGACUGAUGGCCUGGAAUUAUUAUUCUUCAGCUUCCAGGACACAGUGCUCCUAUUAUUUCCAGAGAGCGUUCAUUUAUUUUUUCAAUGUUGAAAGCUCAUGCCAGUGCCGUCGUCUGAAACCUCAUGGCAGCAUAUAUAUGAGACGAUCAUAUUCCAUUCUUGGUUCCCCUGAACAGGGUGCUACUGUUGCAGAAAGGAAGUUCCAGAGGUAACUAUUCCCCUGUGACUCGAAUGUGGUCAGCGGAACCGUCUUAUGCAAAGUAGGCUUUGAAAAGGUGUUUGCUGGCUGAAAUAUAGGGGCUGCCCUUCCCAGCUGGCUGGUUAGCCCCUCCUGGCCAGUCUCCUGCCUCUCACCAGUGCCCACACAUGGCAUGCCAGAAGACGACGCAUCUUUCCUUCAGCUCCCUUUCCGUGAAACAAAAGAAACAUCCGUCUCCCACCUCUUUGGACCUUUCAGAAGAGACCACGGACCCCCUCUCCCUUCUGGACUCGAGGCCCGGACAUUUUCAGGGGCUGCCCUCUUGUCGUCUCACACCACAUGGCAAAGCGUUCAUCAAAGCACCCUACGGCAUCAGCUAACCCAAGGGUCUUCAAGCCUCCAAGGAGCCACAUCUGCGAUCGGUAACAGCUUCUGAGGUUAUCAAUGCCCAUCUGUGUCGGGCAAUCAAAUACCCUCAACUGAGGAACUUAAGGUUAUUUAAGAGUCGGCUUGCCCAAGGAUCCGUGAAAGGAGCUAAAAUGACUGGGAAAGAAAUCUCCCUGCAUGUCUAAUUUCAAAGCCUUGCAAGUCUUGCAUACAUCUCUGAGUAAAUUGAAAAAUUAAAAGUCUGCCUUUUAAAUACAUUUUUUAAAAAGUUUAAAUAAAUUUGCUCGCUGCUUAGGAUCUUCA
rnacentral:lncRNA from 1 species